rnacentral:RNase_P_RNA from 20 species
UCAGUCGGCCGGACGGCCGCUCUUGCAGGAUCGAAAGGUCGCAAGGGAGGAAAGUCCGGGCUCCAUCGACAUACGGUGCCGGAUAACAUCCGGCGAAGGCGACUUCAGGGAAAGUGCCACAGAGAACGAACCGCCACGCCCCCGCAAGGGUGGCUCGGUAAGGGUGAAAAGGUGCGGUAAGAGCGCACCGCGUCUCCGGCAACGGAGGCGGCAUGGCAAACCCCACCGGGAGCAAAACCGAAUAGGGACGGCACAGCGGAAAGUUCGUCUUCGGACGAUAACCCCGCGGGGUCAUGUCGGACCCGCCGUCCGGGUAGGUUGCUUGAGGCGCGCAGCAAUCCGCGUCCCAGAGGAAUGGCCGUCACGUCUGCAUGGUGCGAACCGUGCAGGCCCUCCAGAACCCGGCUUACAGGCUGGCUGACAUC